rnacentral:rRNA from 1 species
GAUGAACGCUGGCGGCGUGCCUAAUACAUGCAAGUCGAGCGAACAGACGAGGAGCUUGCUCCUCUGACGUUAGCGGCGGACGGGUGAGUAACACGUGGAUAACCUACCUAUAAGACUGGGAUAACUUCGGGAAACCGGAGCUAAUACCGGAUAAUAUAUUGAACCGCAUGGUUCAAUAGUGAAAGACGGUUUUGCUGUCACUUAUAGAUGGAUCCGCGCCGCAUUAGCUAGUUGGUAAGGUAACGGCUUACCAAGGCAAUGAUGCGUAGCCGACCUGAGAGGGUGAUCGGCCACACUGGAACUGAGACACGGUCCAGACUCCUACGGGAGGCAGCAGUAGGGAAUCUUCCGCAAUGGGCGAAAGCCUGACGGAGCAACGCCGCGUGAGUGAUGAAGGUCUUCGGAUCGUAAAACUCUGUUAUUAGGGAAGAACAAAUGUGUAAGUAACUAUGCACGUCUUGACGGUACCUAAUCGGAAAGCCACGGCUAACUACGUG